UGUCUUCUUUUGAAACACCGAUCUUUGUUGAAAAGCUCGUGAAUAUAACCAGAAGAUUUAUUUUUUUCAGCGAAGAAGGCAAAGAAGAAGCGGUGAAAAGAGGAAUCUAAAUGGGGAGUGGCGCAUUUUGGCCGUCCGUCAAAUCCUUUGCUCCGAUUACUUCGGUUUCUUCUCUGAUCCCUUUCAUCCGGGUAUAAAAUGCGGCUGCGGGGAAACGCUAGGCGGAGGAUAAGCGAAUCAAUUUCGUCUUAUGCGACCAAUAACUUGGAGUCAUCACAAAAAAAUUAAAGUUUUGAAGAUUUAAGCUUAAUACAUAGAUAAUCCUGAUUAUAAUAGAUAAGCGAAUAAUUUUAUAUGAAUGCACAUUGUAAACAAAUAAUACAUAGAUAAUCCUGAUUAUAAUGAUUAUAACCAGAAAAUAAAUUUUUUGUAUCUAUAAUAUGAAUGUAUAUUACAACCAGAUAAUACAUCAUAGGUUCGAAUUAAGUUAUUAUAAAGACGAAGCAAUAUGGACGUGUUAGCUUUUAUCCAGAUAUUACAAAAACAAACUCAGUAAUUUUGGAGUGCUUCAAAUAACGAAGAAACCUAAUUAAAAACAUCAAAUAAAAAUCUAAUUAACCAAAAAAUACUUAACCUAAACCUAACUAACCAAAACCUAAUUAACCCUAAACCUAAUCUCUUUGCUGCAGCCUCCUACUUCCUCCUUUGCCUCUCUUCUCGAUGUCUUCCUCUGUUCUGAGAGAGAGAGAGAGAGAGAGAGAGAGAGAGAGAGAGAGA